rnacentral:rRNA from 1 species
GACGUAGGGCGCGAGCGUUGUCCGGAUUUAUUGGGCGUAAAGAGCUCGUAGGCGGCUUGUCGCGUCGUCCGUGAAAACCUGGGGCUCAACUCCAGGCUUGCGGUCGAUACGGGCAGGCUAGAGUUCGGUAGGGGAGACGUGGAAUUCCCGGUGUAGCGGUGAAAUGCGCAGAUAUCGGGAGGAACACCGGUGGCGAAGGCGGCGACCUGGGCCGAGACUGACGCUGAGGCGCGAAAGCUAGGGGAGCAAACGGG